rnacentral:lncRNA from 1 species
AGGGCGUUGUUUGGCUGUUGCAGUCACGAAGAGAGUAUUUCCUGGUUGUUUUUCUAAUUCAAAUCACCUUGUUAAGCUUAUUUGGCUACGAUUGUCAUGCCAGAGACGGUCGAUGAGGUAGCAGUGGAUAAGAUCGGGGUGGUCCAGGAGUUCGAGGAUGUGUUUCAGUCGUUAAAGGGGUUACCACCAUCUCGGUCUGAUCCCUUCACGAUUGAGUUGGAGCCCGGGACAACACCGUUGUCUAAGGCUCCGUACCGGAAGGCUCCAGCAGAGAUGGCUGAGCUGAAAAAACAGUUGGAGGAUCUGCUGGGCAAGGGUUUCAUCCGUCCUAGUGUUUCACCGUGGGAGCAAUGGUGUUAUUCGUUAAGAAGAAGGAUGAGAGUUUCCGGCUGUGUAUCGAUUACCGGGGACUUAACCGAGUCACGGUGAAGAACAAGUAUCCUUUGCCGCGGAUUGACGAGUUGUUGGACCAGUUGAGGGGAGCUACGUGGUUCUCUAAAAUUGAUUUGGCGUCGGGUCACCAUCAGAUUCCUAUCGACGAGGCGGAUAUCCGUAAAACGGCGUUCAGGACGAGGUAUGGGCAUUAUGAGUUUGUGGUGAUGCCUUUCGGGUUGACUAAUGCACCAGCGGCGUUCAUGAGGCUGAUGAACAGCGUGUUCCAGGCGUUUCUGGAUGAGUUUGUUAUCAUCUUCAUUGAUGAUAUCCUGGUGUAUUCUAAGAGUCCUGAGGAGCACGAGGUACACUUGCGGGCAGUGUUGGAGAAGCUGCGGGAGCAGAAGCUGUAUGCUAAGCUGAGCAAGUGCAGUUUCUGGCAGAGAAAGAUGGAUUUUCUGUGUCAUAUCGUGUCUGCAGAGGGAGUUUCUGUGGAUGCAGAGAAGAUUGAGGCUAUCAGAGAUUGGCCUAGACCGCAGAAUGCCACAGAGAUACGUAGUUUUCUAGGAUUGGCGGGUUACUACAGACGGUUUGUGAAGGGCUUUGCCAGUACAGCUCAGCCAAUGACCAAGCUGACGGGGAAGGAUGUUCUUUUUGUGUGGACUCCUGAGUGUGAGCAGGGUUUCGCUCAACUCAAGGAGAUGUUGACGAGUACGCCAGUUUUGGCUUUACCGGAGCAGGGAGAGCCGUAUGUGGUGUACACGGACGUUUCGGGAGUUGGUUUGGGUUGUGUGUUGAUGCAGUAGGGUAAGGUGAUCGCCUAUGCUUCGCGGCAGUUGCGGAAGCAUGAGGGCAACUACCCUACUCAUGAUUUGGAGAUGGCAGCGGUGGUCUUUGCUCUGAAAAUUUGGAGAUUUUAUAUGUAUGGAGCGAAGGUUCAGGUGUUUACAGAUCAUAAGAGUCUGAUGUAUAUAUUCACGCAGCCUGAGUUGAACUUGAGGCAGAGGCGCUGGAUGGAGUUGGUUGCAGACUAUGAUCUGGAGAUAGCUUACCAUCCCGGUAAGGCUAAUCUGGUUGCAGAUGCUCUGAGCCGGAAGCGAGCGGCUUCAGCUCGAGGGCAGGAUAUGGAAACCUUGGUGGGAGAACNNNNNNNNNNNNNNNNNNNNNNNNNNNNNNNNNNNNNNNNNNNNNNNNNNNNNNNNNNNNNNNNNNNNNNNNNNNNNNNNNNNNNNNNNNNNNNNNNNNNGGUUGUGUGCUAUUUCUCAGGAGCCACUAGGGUUAGAAGCAGCUAACCGAGUAGACCUUCUGACCAGAGUUCGAGCGGCUCAGGAGAAGGAUGCAGGGCUGGUUAAUGCUUCUAAGGAUACUGAGUCAGAGUAUCAGGUUGCAGCCAAUGGGACUAUCCUUGUGUAUGGGCGAGUUUGUGUGCCCAAGGAUGAGGAGUUGAGACGAGAGAUCUUGAGUGAGGCUCAUGCGAGUAGGUUCUCUAUUCAUCCAGGAGCGACCAAGAUGUACCGAGAUCUGAAGCGGUAUUAUCAUUGGGUCGGGAUGAAGAGGGACGUAGCUAAAUGGGUCUCUGAGUGCGAUGUAUGUCAGCUAGUGAAGGCUGAGCAUCAGGUGCCGAGUGGAUUAUUGCGGAGUCUCCCUAUUCCGGAGUGGAAAUGGGACAUGAUCACGAUGGAUUUCGUGGUAGGGUUGCCAAUGUCUCGGUUCAAGGAUGCCAUUUGGGUCAUUGUAGACCGUUUGACUAAGUCUACACAUUUCUUGGCUAUCAAGAAAACCGAUGGAGCGGCAGUGCUAGCUAAGAAGUAUGUGCAGGAGAUUGUGAGACUUCAUGGAGUACCAGCCAGUAUUGUGUCAGACCGGGAUUCGAAGUUCACUUCGCCGUUGUGGAAGGCUUUCCAGAAGGAGAUGGGUACUAAGGUGCAUUUGAGCACGGCUUACCACCCUCAGACAGACGGGCAGUCUGAGCGGACCAUUCAAACACUUGAGGAUUUGUUGAGGAUGUGUGUGUUAGACUGGGGUGGUCAGUGGGCAGAUCACUUGAGCUUGGUGGAGUUUGCUUAUAAUAAUAGCUACCAGGCGAGUAUUGGGAUGGCUCCUUAUGAGGCGUUGUAUGGGAGGCCAUGUCGGACACCUCUAUGCUGGACUCAAGUGGGGGAGAGGAGCAUUUACGGUGCGGAUUUGGUUCAGGAGACUUCAGAGAAGAUUCGGGUUCUGAAGCUGAACAUGAAAGAGGCGCAGGAUCGGCAAAAGUGUUAUGCUGAUAAGAGGCGUAAGGAGUUGGAGUUUGAGGUUGGAGAUAUGGUGUAUCUCAAGAUGGCGAUGUUGCGUGGUCCUAACAGGUCCCUUACCGAGACUAAGCUGAGUCCGAGGUUUAUAGGUCCUUUCAGGAUUGUGGAGCGGGUUGGACCGGUGGCUUAUCGGUUGGAGUUACCUGAGGUAAUGCAUGCAUUUCAUAAGGUAUUCCACGUGUCGAUGCUGAGGAAGUUUCUUCACAAGGAUGAUGAGGUGUUGGCUACGAUCCCGACAGAUCUUCAGCCUACCAUGACCUUGGAGGCGAAGCCACUGAGGGUUCUCGAGAGGCGGGUAAAGGAACUUCGACGUAAGAAGAUUCCUUUGAUGAGAGUCCAGUGGGACUGUGAUGGAGUCUUGGAGGAGACUUGGGAGCCAGUGGCCAGGAUGAAGGCAAGGUUCCGAAAGUGGUUUGACAAGCAGGUCGAGGAGUAGACCGUUGGCUUGUUUUGUUUUGAGUUUUGUUUUGGUUGUAUCUCUUUUGUAUUUUCAUUUUUGGUGUAAUGAUUAUGACAUUAGAGAUUAAUAAGAUGAGUAUUUCUUGGAUUUGACUUGUUGUUUCAUGUGUAAGAAAAAUAUGUGCGAGUUUCUAAAAAUAGAAAGUGUCGGGUUUGACGGUUCUAUUUUUGGAAAGUCUCGGGGUGGUGGUUAGUAUAGCAUUGCGAUGCUAUAAGUGGACCACGGGAGGUAUAUCUGAUCGAGAGAUAUGCUCGGAGGCGUUUAGACUUAUUUGCUCGGAUAUGAUGUGAUGGCCUCGGAUGACGAUUUGAGUGCACGCUUGAGGGUGACGACCCGAGAGCGAGCGUGAGACUUCCCGGAUACCGUAGCUAGAAGGCGGGUGGCCUAAUAGUGAGCCGGUAUGAGUUGAGGGUUGCGACCUGAGAGCGGGGAGAGUGGUGAGACUUCCUGGAUACCGUAGUAUAAGGCAGAGGCCUGAGGACGAGCCGGUAUGAUUCAUGGAUUGCGACCUGUGGACGGGGGAAGUGGGUGAGUAUGAGCAAAUAGGGUCUAGAACGUGAGUAUAUUGAUUAGAUAGGGGCCUCGGAGAGGUCAGUGGUGUACUGACGGACAUGUUGAAGGAUUCGAGGACGAAUCCAUGUUAGUGGGGGAGAAUUGUAACGCCCGUGUUCUGAAAAUUAAUAGGAGACUUGAAUGGGUAUAAGAAUUAGGGUGGAGUCGGUUUAAUUCCGGUUGAUUUCCUAAACUGGUCGAUUUGUUUAACUGAACCAAAGGAGGUUUAAUUAAAGUCGGUUUAAUUAAAGUCGGUUUAGGUAAAUUCUGGUUUAAUCAGAAUAAAACCAAAAACCCUAGUUUUAUAAAGAACGCUUCUUCUCUAUUUUCUUUUGUGGCUGUUGUUUCUGAGAGUUGAGUUGAGAAAAGGAGAAGGAGAAGUUUACUUGUGAAAAGGAGAGUGUUAGCUUUGCUUUGGUGUUUAAGGCAAGAGAAGCAGAUUCGUCACGUCCUGGUAGAAUAGAGUUACACGUAUCAAAUCUUAUCGAAAGGUAAUGAAUUUUGGUAGGUUUGUUCUUAAGGCGUGUACGUUGAUUCUCCUUUUUACAGAAGUGAAUUCGGAUUAAUACUCGGUGAGUUAUAUGCAGUUUGGUGAGACGCGUUUUCUCUGUUGCGAACUGGGAUCAGCGGAGUUUGUAAGUGCGAUCGUGGUUUCAUCGUUUCUCCGAUCGGCACCAAAUUUUGGGGGGGCUUCGUGACGUCUGGAUCUUGCUUUUCACCGUAGGGAUUAAGAAGUUAACGGUUAUUUUAUGUUCUAGGGGUUCGUUUCUGCGGCUGUAGUUUUUUCGCUGUUUCUGUCCUUUUGGUUCUUAGAGAUUUGUGUUGUGUGGUUUGUUGUAGGGCGUUUUUUGGCUGUUGCAGUCACGAAGAGAGUAUUUCCUGGUUGUUUUUGUAAUUCAAAUCACCUUGUUAAGGUGAGUGCGUGACCAUGAGCUUAUCUAAGCGAUUGGGAUUGAGUGACUUGUUGUGUGAUGAUUUGUAGGUGAACUGGAUGUGUUAUUGGAUGUUUAGCUUGCUGGAUGGUUUAUUUUUGUUAUAUAUGUGGGUGUUAUCUCAUUGCUUGUGUGUAUAGCUCGUAGAUGGGAGGAUCGCCCUCACUAAGUAUUUAUGAAAUACUUAUGCAUCUCUUUCUUUGAUGCAGGUAAAAGCAAAGUGUGAUCCGUGGAAUCAUGGCGAGGAGAGGAGGAUGAUCUAGGCACUCAUUGGUGUUUUAGAUUAUUGUUGGAUUUGUUAGGGUGUUAGAAUGGAAUUUAGAAACAUGUUAGGAUGAUCAUGUUUUGGAAUAAUGUUUGGUUGAACUUGUUGGUUUACUUUAAUGAGAUUGCUUGGUUUAAUUGAUUUAAAUUAUUAUGGCCGGUUUAGCUGGUUCGAAUUAAUUGGGUUAAUCCGGUUGCAUGUUUAAAAGAAAAAAAAGGGAUGGGUUCUUUCAAUGUUUAACUGCAAAGAACACUAUAAUAAACGAUAUUAAUG